rnacentral:rRNA from 1 species
CCUACGGGUGGCAGCAGUGAGGAAUAUUGGUCAAUGGGCGCGAGCCUGAACCAGCCAAGUAGCGUGAAGGAUGACUGCCCUACGGGUUGUAACCUUCUUUUAUAAAGGAGUUAAGUGAGGCACGUGUGCCUUUUGGUAUGUCCUUUAUGAAUAAGGAUCGGCUAACUCCGUGCCAGCAGCCGCGGUAAUACGGAGGAUCCGAGCGUUAUCCGGAUUUAUUGGGUUUAAAGGGAGCGUAGAUGGGUUGUUAAGUCAGUUGUGAAAGUUUGCGGCUAAACCGUAAAAUUGCAAUUGAUACUGGCAGUCUUGAGUACAGUUGAGGUAGGCGGAAUUCGUGGUGUAGCGGUGAAAUGCGUAGAUAUCACGAAGAACUCCGAUUGCGAAGGCAGCUUACUAAACUGCCACUGACACUGAUGCUCGAAAGUGUGGGUAUCAAACAGGAUUAGAUACCCGAGUAGUC